AAUUAAUGAACUUGUAUAAGUAUAUGUUUUGAAAACAUAAAAAAGAGUCAAACCUCUAUUAAUUU
rnacentral:tRNA from 1 species